rnacentral:rRNA from 1 species
UGGCUCAGGGAGGUCGGCAACGACCACCCAGAGCCGGAAAGUUGGUCAAACUCGGUCAUUUAGAGGAAGUAAAAGUCGUAACAAGGUCUCCGUAGGUGAACCUGCGGAGGGAUCAUUA